rnacentral:misc_RNA from 1 species
UUUUCCCCAUUCUGAUAUUAAUUAAUAUAUUUUCACUUUGUUAAAUAGCUGAAAGGUUUAAUUCUUAUAGUGUCAACAAACUAAACUCUCAUAUGGGUCAACAUACAUGUACAUAAUUUUGCUUUUUAUGUUUUUUCAUAAAUUAGUCAACCAUUUGUAUUCACCUCAUAUGCCUAGAUCUCAAACAAAAGCUAUUUGUAAGUAUUUUAUUUUCACCCUUACCAAUUUUUUCUGCAAUUCAUUUUACAGUUUGACUCAGAAAACUUAUUUUUUCAAUGAUUACCCUGAAUGAUAAAUGUUCAUUAAUGGACAGUCAUUGAAAUCAAUGUCAUUUAGUUAUCAAGAGAGAUAGCCAAUACUAGCAAGCUAAAAUAUAUUUAUUUUCAAUUGAUUUAGUUUUUACAUGUCACUGUAGAUUUUGACAUUGCGAUAUAUAUUUUUCAAAUUUCCUCUCCAAGAGAUGAACUUUUUCUCUUAAACUGCUACCCUACUAAUAAUUCGUGACAGAAAACCUGUACACAAUUGACUGUUUUGAAAAAAAUUAAUUCAUCUUCACUACAGUAUAAAGCUCAAAUUUACUGCCCUUAGUAACAUUCCAGUCUAUUUGUAUAAUAUUUUGUUUGAUUAAUUAUCCGUACCAUGGACUACGCUAGCUCUUCCUGCUGAAGAAAUGGAAAUGGGAAAUAAAAAUAAAGUUCGUGUUUUCCUGAUUAUCGUACAAGUGGAAUAAUGUAACAAAUAUAUCUAUAAUACUAGAAUUACCCUUUAGAUUAAUUAAGAGAGGUAUCCUGCGAAAAAUAAUUCCUGGUGAAUGUUAUGAUGGAAAUAGAAUGGGACCAUAUCUAUAUAUUAAGCUUGGUUAUUCUUGGCCAUGUUUGCUCAUUGUGAUAGAAAGUGCUGAGGAUAUUUUGAUCCCUGAUUAAAUAGUAUUUUAUAGAUGAUUUUUCUUUUAAAACAAAGAUUUAUUUAUAUGAACUAUGUAUAUUUUUUUUAGAUAUUUGAUCAUUAUCCAUUAUAUACUUCAUCUUUUGGUUAUGUUUACAUGUGUCUGCAUAAAUUGUAAAGUGUCAUAUAAUAAAGUCGUAUUAUAU